AGCAAGGGCGGGUGCUAUACAUGCAGUCGAGCGGACAGAAGGGAGCUUGCUCCCGGAUGUUAGCGGCGGACGGGUGAGUAACACGUGGGUAACCUGCCUGUAAGACUGGGAUAACUCCGGGAAACCGGAGCUAAUACCGGAUAGUUCCUUGAACCGCAUGGUUCAAGGAUGAAAGACGGUUUCGGCUGUCACUUACAGAUGGACCCGCGGCGCAUUAGCUAGUUGGGUGGGGUAAUGGCUCACCAAGGGCGACGAUGCGUAGCCGACCUGAGAGGGUGAUCGGCCACACUGGGACUGAGACACGGCCCAGACUCCUACGGGAGGCAGCAGUAGGGAAUCUUCCGCAAUGGACGAAAGUCUGACGGAGCAACGCCGCGUGAGUGAUGAAGGUUUUCGGAUCGUAAAGCUCUGUUGUUAGGGAAGAACAAGUGCGAGAGUAACUGCUCGCACCUUGACGGUACCUAACCAGAAAGCCACGGCUAACUACGUGCCAGCAGCCGCGGUAAUACGUAGGUGGCAAGCGUUGUCCGGAAUUAUUGGGCGUAAAGGGCUCGCAGGCGGUUUCUUAAGUCUGAUGUGAAAGCCCCCGGCUCAACCGGGGAGGGUCAUUGGAAACUGGGAAACUUGAGUGCAGAAGAGGAGAGUGGAAUUCCACGUGUAGCGGUGAAAUGCGUAGAGAUGUGGAGGAACACCAGUGGCGAAGGCGACUCUCUGGUCUGUAACUGACGCUGAGGAGCGAAAGCGUGGGGAGCGAACAGGAUUAGAUACCCUGGUAGUCCACGCCGUAAACGAUGAGUGCUAAGUGUUAGGGGGUUUCCGCCCCUUAGUGCUGCAGCUAACGCAUUAAGCACUCCGCCUGGGGAGUACGGUCGCAAGACUGAAACUCAAAGGAAUUGACGGGGGCCCGCACAAGCGGUGGAGCAUGUGGUUUAAUUCGAAGCAACGCGAAGAACCUUACCAGGUCUUGACAUCCUCUGACACCCUAGAGAUAGGGCUUUCCCUUCGGGGACAAAUGACAGGUGGUGCAUGGGUGUCGUCAGCUCUGUCUGAGAUGUGGUACCCAGAGGGGGGGGGAGGCAAACACACAAAACAAAAAAAGGAAGGGGGGGGGAGAACAAAAGAAAACAAAAGAGAAGAAAGCGAGAGGGGG
rnacentral:rRNA from 1 species